rnacentral:lncRNA from 1 species
UUUUGGAGGGAGUUCUUGAAGGUUUGAGCAGAAUUGGCAUGUGAGUGGAAGCAUGCUUGGUGUUGACUUGGGGAACACUGAAACGGCUAGCUUUUGUUGCCAUUUCCACUACAGGAAAGUUUUUCUUGGUCCAUAACAUGGUUUUGGAACAACCAAAGGCAAUGAGAAACCUUGCUGUAGAAUCUGCUUUUUACCAUUUUGGGCAUAAAGUUGAAUUUU